rnacentral:rRNA from 1 species
AGGACGAACGCUGGCGGCGUGCUUAACACAUGCAAGUCGAACGAGAUCCUUCGGGGUCUAGUGGCGCACGGGUGCGUAACGCGUGGGAAUCUGCCCUUAGGUACGGAAUAACUCAGGGAAACUUGUGCUAAUACCGUAUGAUGUCUUCGGACCAAAGAUUUAUCGCCUAGGGAUGAGCCCGCGUAGGAUUAGCUAGUUGGUGGGGUAAAGGCCUACCAAGGCUACGAUCCUUAGCUGGUCUGAGAGGAUGAUCAGCCACACUGGGACUGAGACACGGCCCAGACUCCUACGGGAGGCAGCAGUGGGGAAUAUUGGACAAUGGGCGAAAGCCUGAUCCAGCAAUGCCGCGUGAGUGAAGAAGGCCUUCGGGUUGUAAAGCUCUUUUACCCGGGAAGAUAAUGACUGUACCGGGAGAAUAAGCCCGGCUAACUCCGUGCCAGCAGCCGC